rnacentral:tRNA from 1 species
GACCUCGUAGCUCAGUUGGAUAGAGCGGUGGUUUCCUAAACCGCAGGCCGCUGGUUCGAUUCCAGCCGAGGUCA